rnacentral:rRNA from 1 species
UACGUAGGGGCCGAGCGUUGUCCGGAGUUAUUGGGCGUAAAGCGCGCGCAGGCGGCCUCGCGCGCCCGACGUGAAAGCCCCCGGCUUAACCGGGGAGGGUCGUUGGGGACGGCGGGGCUUGAGGGCGGGAGAGGUCGGUGGAAUUCCCGGUGUAGUGGUGAAAUGCGUAGAGAUCGGGAGGAACACCUGUGGCGAAGGCGGCCGACUUGGCCGACCCUGACGCUGAGGCGCGAAGGCGUGGGGAGCAAACAGG